GCGGCCGAUCUCGUCUGAUCUCGGAAGCUAAG
rnacentral:rRNA from 1 species